rnacentral:lncRNA from 1 species
UGGGCCUUUUUCUAACCCGUCAGAGCUUUUCAGAAUUCCUAGGGUUUUGAACAAAUUAACCUCUCCCCAAAAUUCACAGUCACGUUUCACAUCUCCCAGCAGGGCUUAGCAAUUCUCAGCUUUUUGAUUUUGAAGAACUGAUCCUGCUUUCUUGAUUGCCAUAAAUACAGGUUUUGGGUUUAGCGGGUUGGCUUCUUCGAGUUUUCAGAGGUGGAAAUGUAACCCGAUAACCGUACCAUUCUAGAUUCGGGUUCAAUCAUCUUUUUUUGAUUUUCUGGCCUACUCCAUUCCGCCUGUAAGAUGUUUCGGGUCGUCGUUCUUCCUCAUUCAAUUUGGUACACUUCAAGAGCUUGGACCUAAAUGAUCUAGUUGGUGGUACAGAGAUUGGACCAGAAUGGUGUAAGGUAAACGUUCAAGUACAAAUAAAAAAAGAUGAAAACUUGGUAAGACCAUAUGGUUUAUUUUCUACAAUUCAAGAUUGUAUUGGUGCAUCCAUCGCAUGGCCCUAUCCAUUCAUCUCGGUAGUCUAUGAGGAUUGAGGACACAUGAUGACUAAAGAUUUUAUGCUUCUUAUUUCUUUAAUUGCUUUUAAUUUCUUUGUUAAAUGUUAAGACUUUAUGUUAGAUAAUGUUAUAACUUAUUUAUGGUUAGUGUUUUUGUUAAGAACAUGCUUAUUUGAAGUAUAAUGAUUCUUUCAUUAGUUGAUGUUAUACAAUAACUAUUAGGAUGUUAUAUGUUGAAGGUCUGUUUAUAAAUUUGGUUUUAUAAUCUUAUUUGGGAUAUUAAGACCAUUUUCUUGAUAUUAAAAUAGCUAUAACGUUACAUCAUAAGGGUCUUAUAAAUUAAUUUUAAGGACGCUUGUAUGUGUAUCCAAAAAUUAAAAGUAGAUAAUCACAUAUUAGAACAUUGUAAAAGUGUCCUAAUAUGUUCUUUUUAGGACGCUAUUUAAGUUGUCUAUAGACAUACUAUGCGACCAUAAAAUUGGUUUCAUAAUCUUAUUUGGUAUAUUAGGACCCUUUUCUUGGUACUAAAUUAGCCAUAAUGUUACAUCAUAAGGGUCCUAUCAAUUAAUUUCUAAGGACGCUUGUAAGUGUAUCAAAAGAUUAAAAGUAUUUAAGCACAUGUUAGAACAUCGUAAAAGUGUCCUAAUAUGUUUUUAUUAGGACACUAUUUUUGGUUGUUCAAAGACAUAUUACGCGACCUUAAAAUUGGUUUCAUAAUCUAAUUUGAGAUGUUAGGACGCUUUUUUAGUUCUGAGACUUAUUACGACCCCUUUACAUGAAACGCUUUUACCGUUGGUCCUAUUAAAUGAAAGGUCCUAUAAAAUAGCAUUUUAGGACGCUUUUGCGCGUACUAAAAACCCAGUUUUCUUGUAGUGACAUUAGUUACUGUUUUACUAAUAGGAAUUUACCCAUCUUUAAGUAAAAUUGUGUUCCUAUUUAACUUACAAGUUUUUUUAAAUGGUUUAAUUGUUGUAGAAUAAUAAUUAUUAUGGAGGAUGAUUUAAAUAAAAAAAAGUGUGUCAUUGAUAUAUAUCCAAAAACAAAUUUACUACACUUAUUUUUUUAGAAAGUGUAAUGUUCUUGAAUUGACAGCAAUAUAUAUUUAUAGUGUUAUUUUUUUUUUGGUAAACUAAAAGAUUAAAAGGGUUUUUAUUAAAUACCAAAGACGUCAACUUUCAACACAAGUUUAUUAGGACUAUAUUUAACAUAUGAAUUUUAACAAAUCGCUAUGUUAUAUAUUUUUUUCAUAUCUAGGAUAAACACUCUCGUUCGUUCUCUUGGAUUCCCGUUUACUCAUGCACCACCGUUUGCCCAUAUAGGGUAACCGCGGUGUUCCAUCCUCUUAAACUCGUACACUCGUCAACACUUGGAUAAUCGGAAGACUUAGCAAUUAUGUUGAUGAUGACGAUGCUAUGAAAAGAAGUAGCGUUGAUGCCUAGAUACACAUAUAGACGUUUAGGUUUAAUAUGUUGUAUCAAUUUUGAUUAUGUUGUUACGUAUUUCCCUUGAACAUGUUGUUAUUUGAAUUUCCUUGUAUGUUUGGCAAUUUAUCUAUGAAAUGAAAUCGGU